AACUUUCGACAACGUAUCUCGUGGCUCUCGCAUCGAUUAAGAACACAGCGAAAUGUGAUAAGUAAUGUGAAUUGCAGAAUCCAGUGAAUCAUCGAAUCUUUGAACGCAUCUUGCGCUCCUUGGCAUUCCGAGGAGCAUGCCUGUUUGAGUGUCAUUAAACUAUCAAAACACUUUUUCUCGAGGUGUUUUGGACUUUGGGAGCACUGUGCUGGUCUCUGUUUGAGCCAGCUCUCCUCAAAAGCAUUAUCUUUGAGACCAUCAGUGUGAUCAUUUGUUUGCACUGGCUUCUCUUUUUUAACUGCCCCUUUGACCUCAAAUCAGGUAGGACUACCCGCUGAACUUAAGCAUAUCAAUAAGCGGAGGCC
rnacentral:misc_RNA from 1 species